rnacentral:rRNA from 1 species
UCGGGAAUUUUGCUCAAUGGGCGCAAGCCUGAAGCAGCAACGCCGCGUGAGGGAUGAAGGCCUUCGGGUUGUAAACCUCUUUUCUCAGGGACGAUGAUGACGGUACCUGAGGAAUAAGUCACGGCUAACUACGUGCCAGCAGCCGCGGUAAUACGUAGGUGACCAGCGUUGUCCGGAUUUACUGGGCGUAAAGAGCGCGCAGGCGGUCGUUCAAGUCGAGUGUGAAAGCCCCCGGCUCAACUGGGGAGGGUCACUCGACACUGAUCGACUUGAAGGCAGGAGAGGGAAGCGGAAUUCCCGGUGUAGUGGUGAAAUGCGUAGAUAUCGGGAGGAACACCAGUGGCGAAGGCGGCUUCCUGGCCUGUUCUUGACGCUGAGGCGCGAAAGCUAGGGGAGCAAACG